CGAUUAGACACGUCCUUAAGACUUCCCCGCAGGGAGCGCGGCGUUUCGCGGGGAAGACCUUUUCUCCGCCGCCGUUGCUUCCUCCCUCGCUCGGAUCGCGGCGCCGGCACGCGCGAGGCCGGCGGUGGAUCACCACCGGCGCGCUUCCAGCGAGGUCGACCCCGAGUGCUCCAGCAGCCCAUAUGAUCGUCCACGUCGUCGCCGGCUUCCCCGAUGGAUCGCCGAGAGAAAAAAGCUCCCAAAGUGGUCGGACCCUUCCCUGGACCCUGCGCAAGCGGGAGCUACAUGCACCAGGUUGCCCUUUUUAAACAGGCACUGCAUUUAAAUCCCAAUUUGUACUGUCAUUACGGUGAGGAACAUGUAACCUCUAAUGCAAAAGACAGGUAUUACAGAGUGUGAGAGUAUAUGUAUCAGCCGAUAUUAUCUCUACUAUUGCUAUACACUGCAUUGUAUCACUCAAGAGUAGUAUCACAUAAGCUUGCUUAGUGUUUGCCCAAAA